rnacentral:rRNA from 1 species
AAAACGACUCUCGGCAACGGAUAUCUCGGCUCUCGCAUCGAUGAAGAACGUAGCGAAAUGCGAUACUUGUUGUGAAUUGCAGAAUCCCGUGAACCAUCGAGUCUUUGAACGCAAGUUGCGCCCCAAGCCGUUAGGCCGAGGGCACGCCUGCCUGGGUGUCAC